rnacentral:rRNA from 1 species
AUUGAACGCUGGCGGCAGGCCUAACACAUGCAAGUCGAGCGGGGUGAUGGUGCUUGCACUAUCACUUAGCGGCGGACGGGUGAGUAAUGCUUAGGAAUCUGCCUAUUAGUGGGGGACAACAUUUCGAAAGGAAUGCUAAUACCGCAUACGUCCUACGGGAGAAAGCAGGGAAUCCUCGGACCGUGCGCUAUUAGAGGAGUCUAAGUCGGAUUAGCUAGUUGGUGGGGUAAAGGCCUACCAAGGCGACGAUCUGCAACGGGUCUGAGAGGAUGAGCCGCCACACUGGGACUGAGACACGGCCCAGACUCCUACGGGAGGCAGCAGUGGGAAUAUUGGACAAUGGGCGGAAGCCUGAUCCAGCCAUGCCGCGUGUGUGAAGAAGGCCAUAUGGUUGUAAAGCACUUUAAGCGAGGAGGAGGCUACUUUAGUUAAUACCUAGAGAUAGUGGACGUUACUCGCAGAAUAAGCACCGGCUAACUCUGUGCCAGCCGCCGCAGUAAUAC